rnacentral:rRNA from 1 species
UAGGGAAUCUUCCGCAAUGGGCGAAGGCCUGACGGAGCAACGCCGCGUGAGUGAUGAAGGUCUUCGGAUCGUAAAACUCUGUUAUUAGGGAAGAACAUAUGUGUAAGUAACUGUGCACAUCUUGACGGUACCUAAUCAGAAAGCCACGGCUAACUACGUGCCAGCAGCCGCGGUAAUACGUAGGUGGCAAGCGUUAUCCGGAAUUAUUGGGCGUAAAGCGCGCGUAGGCGGUUAGAUAAGUCUGAAGUUAAAGGCUGUGGCUUAACCAUAGUACGCUUUGGAAACUGUUUAACUUGAGUGCAAGAGGGGAGAGUGGAAUUCCAUGUGUAGCGGUGAAAUGCGUAGAUAUAUGGAGGAACACCGGUGGCGAAAGCGGCUCUCUGGCUUGUAACUGACGCUGAGGCUCGAAAGCGUGGGGAGCAAACAGGAUUAGAUACCCUGGUAGUCCACGCCGUAAACGAUGAGUGCUAGGUGUUAGACCCUUUCCGGGGUUUAGUGCCGCAGCUAACGCAUUAAGCACUCCGCCUGGGGAGUACGACCGCAAGGUUG